CGAAGAAUCGCAUGAUCUCAGACCAUAUAUGUGGUAUAGGUCUCUUUUGACUUUUGGCUGCACCAAUCAAUGACUUGAGAUCUCCAUCUCCUUCCAGUGAAUCUUGCGCUUUUAUGUUACUGAAGUCCAUCCCCGGCGGUAUAACCACCAUCCUCGGCAUGUAUCUCCCGAGGCAACUCACUCCUCUCCGUCUCCUAACUCUGAGUUUCCUUUCCAGCUGAAUAUCAAAACCAUCAUACAAACCCCAUUGUUCGUCAAUCUCUUGUCUAGUGCUAGUAAUCACCAUUUCAGCAGUAUCUAGUCCCAACUCUUCUGCUUCUAUUCUCCUCAUUAUCUUGUAG
rnacentral:misc_RNA from 1 species